rnacentral:rRNA from 1 species
GACGAACGCUGGCGGCGUGCCUAACACAUGCAAGUCGAACGGAGAUAUUGGAUGAAGCUUGCGAUUCCGGUAUUUUAGUGGCGGACGGGUGAGUAACGCGUGGGUAAUCUGCCCAUAAGAGGGGGACAACAGUUGGAAACGACUGCUAAUACCGCAUAUGCUGAGCAAUCAGUAAAGGAGGCCUCUUUAAAUGCUUCCGCUUAUGGAUGAGCCCGCGUCUGAUUAGCUGGUUGGUGGGGUAACGGCCUACCAAGGCAACGAUCAGUAGCCGGCCUGAGAGGGUGAACGGCCACACUGGGACUGAGACACGGCCCAGACUCCUACGGGAGGCAGCAGUGGGGAAUAUUGCGCAAUGGGGGAAACCCUGACGCAGCGACGCCGCGUGAGCGAAGAAGGCCUUAGGGUCGUAAAGCUCUGUUUUAAGGGACGAAUGUCGUUAUCAAUAAAACGGGUAGCGAAUGACGGUACCUUAAGAGGAAGCCCCGGCUAACUACGUGCCAGCAGCC